AUUGAACGCUGGCGGCAUGCUUUACACAUGCAAGUCGAACGGUAACAGGUUAAGCUGACGAGUGGCGAACGGGUGAGUAAUGCAUCGGAACGUGCCCGGUCGUGGGGGAUAACGCAGCGAAAGCUGCGCUAAUACCGCAUACGAUCUGAGGAUGAAAGCGGGGGACCGUAAGGCCUCGCGCGAUCGGAGCGGCCGAUGUCAGAUUAGGUAGUUGGUGGGGUAAAGGCUCACCAAGCCAACGAUCUGUAGCUGGUCUGAGAGGACGACCAGCCACACUGGGACUGAGACACGGCCCAGACUCCUACGGGAGGCAGCAGGGGUGAAUUUUGGACAAUGGGCGAAAGCCUGAUCCAGCAAUGCCGCGUGCAGGAAGAAGGCCUUCGGGUUGUAAACUGCUUUUGUACGGAGCGAAAAGGUCUCCUCUAAUACAGGGGGCUCAUGACGGUACCGUAAGAAUAAGCGCCGGCUAACUACGUGCCAGCCGCCGCCGUAA
rnacentral:rRNA from 1 species